rnacentral:rRNA from 1 species
GAUGAACGCUGGCGGCGUGCCUAAUACAUGCAAGUCGAGCGAACGGACGAGAAGCUUGCUUCUCUGAUGUUAGCGGCUGACGGGUGAUUAACACGUGGAUAACCUACCUAUAAGACUGGGAUAACUUCGUGAAACCUGAUCUAAUACCGGAUAAUAUUUUGAACCGCAUGGUUCAUAAGUGAAAUACGUUCUUUCUGUCUCUUAUCGAUGUAUCCGCGCUGCAUUAUCUAGUUGGUAAGGUAACGGCUUACCAAGGCAACGAUGCAUAGCCGACCUGAGAGGGUGAUCGGCCACACGGGAACUGAGACACGGUCAAGACUCCUACGGGAGGCAGCAGUAGGGAAUAGUCCGCAAUGGGCGAAAGCAUGACGGAGGAAAGCCGAGUGAGUGAUGAAGGUCUUCAGAUCGUAAAACUCUGUUAUUAGGGAAGAACAUAUGUGUAAGUAACUGUGCACAUCUUGACGGUACCUAAUCAGAAAGCCACGGCUAACUACGUG